rnacentral:rRNA from 1 species
CAAUAGCGUAUAUUAAUGUUGUUGCAGUUAAAAAGCUCGUAGUUGGAUUCCUGACCUGGGGUAGCCGGUCCGCCUUGCAAAAGGUGCGCACUGAGCGGCCUCGGUCAUCCUUGAGAAGAGCGGUCCUGGCAUUCAGUUGUCGGGGUCGGGAUCCUCGACGUUUACUGUGAAAAAAUCAGAGUGUUCAACGCAGGCUUACGCCUUGAAUACAUUAGCAUGGAAUAAUGAGAUAGGACCUUGGCGGUCUAUUUUGUUGGUUUGCACGCCGAGGUAAUGAUUAAAAGGGACGGUUGGGGUUCUUCGUAUUCAAUUGUCAGAGGUGAAAUUCUUGGAUUUAUGGAAGACGAACUGCUGCGAAAGCGUCGAACAAGGACGUUCUCAUUAA